CUCAAAGCCUGGGUGCACCUGCUCGUGGCUGAGGGAUGUGGGAGCAGCAGUUCUUGCUGGACUGGGGAGAAGUUUAAACACAAGCUUUGAACAAUGUUAGGAAACAUGAAACAGAGAAGAGCUGAAGCUUUGUAGCUUUUAGAAUUCUCUGAGACAUGAAGAGAAAUGUCAUAGGGAGUAAUGGGCCUGGAGCUGGGGGAGAGUGGUCAUUUUAAGCCAUGUGCAGCUGAUGAGGAGAAGAUGAAGGAUUAACAAACAUAUCGGUUCCCCAAGGAAAUC
rnacentral:lncRNA from 1 species